UAGUCUCGCACAGAUGCAUAUCAAUAAGCGGAGGAAAAGAAACUAACAAGGAUUCCCUCAGUAACGGCGAGUGAAGCGGGAAGAGCUCAAAUUUGAAAUCUUGAAAGGUCACCUUUCACGAAUUGUAGUUUAAAGAAGUGUUUUCUGUUACGAUCGUAAUAUAAGUUCUUUGGAAUAGGACAUCACAGAGGGUGAGAAUCCCGUCUAUGAUUGCGAUUUGUAGCUUUGUGAUACACUUUCAAAGAGUCGGGUUGUUUGGGAAUGCAGCCCAAAACGGGAGGUAAAUUCCUUCUAAGGCUAAAUAUUGGCGAGAGACCGAUAGCGAACAAGUACCGUGAGGGAAAGAUGAAAAGAACUUUGAAAAGAGAGUUAAAUAGUACGUGAAAUUGUCAAAAGGGAAGCGUUUAACACCAGUGUUGUUUUCUGAAAAUCAACCUCUGUUAGCUUUAUGCAUGUUUGUUUAGACCUAAUCAGCUAUCUUGCAUGUUCUAUUGUUUGCAGUGGUGCACUUUUCAGUUUACAGGUCAACAUCAGUUUUUUUUACCGUAAAAAAGUUAAAGAAAGGUAGCUCAUGGCUCCGGUCGUGAGUGUUAUAGUCUUUUUCCUAUGCGGUAGGAGAGACUGAGGUCUGCAGUGUAGGCUAUUUGGCUAGAUACUCAGGUGCUAUGUGAUACCAUUUCAUAAACAACUUGUUGAUUAUGUUUUGUCUAUUGCAUACUCGCUUGUACUAUCAUACCUACGCUUAGGAUGUUGAGUCGUAGAGCACGCAG
rnacentral:rRNA from 1 species